UAAAGAUUUAGUCUGUCUUCCAUGUUUAAGAAUUUUUCCUUGAGGCUAGAGCUUUGCAGUAAGAAUAUGGAAACAUCGGUCCGCGUGAGGUUGAGCUUCUGUCCCCUGUCUCGGUCCGUUGGUCCCGGUGCAGCAGUCUCUAUCCUGCGAGCGUGCUUGAAACCUGUGCUCUACCUUCCCAGUUCCUUCUCGUAGACUCUUAAACCGCCCGAUGCAAACGUUGCUCUUGCUGCGCUAAGUGGACUUUUUCUUGUUAGAUCGUCCCCUGCUGCUCAGUAUUUUCGCUUCCCAGUGACGCCCUGGCCUGUCCUCAGAAAACUCUUUGAAGGAUUGUCCAUGACAACUGCCUGAUAUUUCAACUACAAAAUCUCACUCCUCCAAAAUGACACCAUCAUCUGCUUCAAGAACAUUGCUCUUGGAGAAUGUCCUCAAGUGUUCAGCGUUGUGUGCCUGUGAAGUAUUUAUCCACCCAGAAGCUAGGCAGCUGCCUGCCUGCCUGCCUGUCUGC